AGCAGUUGGUGAAUUUGACAGGAAAGUCAAAGACUUCUAAGGAAAUCCAAAAUUUGUGUUAAAACAUGACGAUGAAAAAAAAAGACAAAAAUAGAAGACAUAGGCUGCCAUAUUUUUUCAUCACUGCACGUA
rnacentral:ribozyme from 12 species